ACUGCGGCCAGCUUCCACACUCUCUACCUGCUCCAGUCCUCACCACUCGUCCCUGGGGCUGAUUUUCUUUCCCUCCACCCACUUCCCAGCCACUCCCACCCCCUCGUUUCCAUAUUUGCUCUCUUGCACCUGUAUUUCGUCUUUCUUCUCCUUUCUAAAUGCCACCUCGAUGCCUCCACGUUCCGGUAAAGCGGCUGCUCGCUCUCCCCUACCCCUGCUUCGCCUCACCCCCUCCGCGCCGCCUCAGGGCUCCCGCGGCCGAUCUCCGCCGCUCCUGCUGCCCGGCCCGUUCCUCUCGCCAUUUCUCGUUGUGGUUUGCUGCGGAUGUGAGACACCUUACGUGGUUUCCCUUCUUUGCACACAUCAACGGACUUCAUAAAUCACCAGUGUUAAGAAGUGCUGUUUUUUAGGGGGAAGGCAGCUGUAUUUUUACACAGAUGACUGCACUCAAUUCUCAGGGUGCUUUGGGAUCUUGUUAAAUACCGGAGUGAAACGAGGUGUGUAUGCGAGGGGCAGCCCCUUGGCUUGCCUAUAUGGCUUGCAGUUGGCAGCUCGGUUUCUCCCUCCUCCUCUGCUCCCUACAGGCUCCUGGCAGGUGCUUAUAGGCUGCCAGCAAGUCUGAUCAGGAGAGCAGAAAACAAACACACAAAGGCAUAAGGUAAGGAGCACAGUUUGAAUUAGGAUAGUCUGGCACUUGAUGGAUGCAUUAUGAUUGCUGUUAACAUUGUUUUAGCACAGUGCAGGCAAAUAUAUAGCAUCCAUGCAACGCAGUGUUCUUACUAUGUAAUUUUCUCUACUUUUUUUCUUAAAUUCUGAAAAAUGCUGUGUUUUCUCUCAUAAAAUCCUAUGGAGACACCUUAGUUAAAAAUACAACUAUAAUGGUGCAACGCUGCAAGCAGUUUUGUCCCAAGCCACUUUUCUGUAAGAGGCAUCUCGAUGCAGCAUUGAGCACUAAUACCAAAGCUGGUUUUUGUCUGUGGGCUGAUUGGGUUGCUUUAGUUCAUAGCCUGUAAGAACAUCUGUUGAGCAUCUCUAAUGCACAGCUAGUAACCAGAUCUAUCAGUUGCUCUUUCCAGGCUUCAGUGCUGAGAGCAUUUCAAGGGAAAAUAGGGCUUAGCCAGCAAAAUCCCUGACUGCUGAAUUGUACCCUUUGAGCACGGGCAUGUCAAUAUAAGAGCUUUAAGUGCUGUAGCUAAAGCUUCCUGCUGUUUCUAAGAUGAGGGAACAAAUACACAGAUAAACAUAUUUUUGGCCUGGUUAUUUCUCGCUUUUAGUAUCAUUCUCCCGCCCCCUUUUUCUUUUUGACUCUGAUCCAGCUGUUAUUACAGUUGCUAAAAUGAUCAGAACAGACUGAUCAGAAUUCAGUGAGAACACCGGCACGUUCCUGUAUGUUCCUUGAAACCCACUGUCUGCCUAUACCUAAAAAGCAAAAAUUACUCUUUGAAUGUUUGUACUAUUUUCUCAUUUGCAGGUUCCUUUUGUUCCCUAAUGCUGUAGAUAUCCAGACAAAGGGGCUUUUAUUCAAAUUGUAUAUACUUUUGCAUGCUGCUUGAAAUUCUUGUCAUGGAUCUGUUUUUUCCUCUAAACCAUUAAAAAGAGCAGAUCUGUA
ensembl:lncRNA